rnacentral:lncRNA from 1 species
GGAAAACAGAGAGAAGCCUUGGAGCAGAGGGAGUACAACAGGAAAGGCUUUGCCCACCUCUGGAGUGGUGUCCAUAGCCAACAGUGAGACUUAAAAUGGCCAUGUUGAAGGAACCGUGUCAUUGGAGGUGGGCUUUAAGAAUGUAAGGACUCGGUCUCUCACUGCAGCAACGCAAGCGCGAGCUCGGAAAGAGAAUCCACGUGUUGUAAGAAAAUGGCAGACAAGGCAGACAUGCGGGAAAUCGCCAGCUUCGAUAAGGCCAAGCUGAAGAAAACCGAGACGCAGGAGAAUAACACCCUGCCGACCAAAGAGACCAUCGAACAGCUCAGGAUGUGAGCCCUCGGCUUCCACUUCAGCCACCAAGCCUGCUGCAUGCUGCCAGGCUUCCCAGACAUGACAAACUCUGGAUCCACAAGCCCAAAUAAAGUCUCAUAUAAAU